ACUCCUACGGGAGGCAGCAGUGGGGAAUUUUGCGCAAUGGGGGAAACCCUGAUGCAGCAACGCCGCGUGGAGGAUGAAGUCCUUUGGGUUGUAAACUCCUUUCGACCGGGACGAUA
rnacentral:rRNA from 1 species